rnacentral:rRNA from 1 species
AGCAGUCGGCGCGGUAAUACGUAGGUGGCAAGCGUUGUCCGGAAUUAUUGGGCGUAAAGCGCGCGCAGGCGGAUAGGUCAGUCUGUCUUAAAAGUUCGGGGCUUAACCCCGUGAUGGGAUGGAAACUGCCAAUCUAGAGUAUCGGAGAGGAAAGUGGAAUUCCUAGUGUAGCGGUGAAAUGCGUAGAUAUUAGGAAGAACACCAGUGGCGAAGGCGACUUUCUGGACGAAAACUGACGCUGAGGCGCGAAAGCCAGGGGAGCGAACGGGAUUAGAUACCCCUGUAGUCCCUGUCUCUUAUACA